rnacentral:rRNA from 1 species
AUGAACGCUGGCGGCGUGCCUAAUACAUGCAAGUCGAGCGCACGGACGAGAAGCUUGCUUCUCUGAUGUUAGCGGCGGACGGGUAAGUAACACGUGGAUAACCUACCUAUAAGACUGGGAUAACUUCGGGAAACCGGAGCUAAUACCGGAUAAUAUUUUGAACCGCAUGGUUCAAAAGUGAAAGACGGUCUUGCUGUCACUUAUAGAUGGAUCCGCGCUGCAUUAGCUAGUUGGUAAGGUAACGGCUUACCAAGGCAACGAUGCAUAGCCGACCUGAGAGGGUGAUCGGCCACACUGGAACUGAGACACGGUCCAGACUCCUACGGGAGGCAGCAGUAGGGAAUCUUCCGCAAUGGGCGAAAGCCUGACGGAGCAACGCCGCGUGAGUGAUGAAGGUCUUCGGAUCGUAAAACUCUGUUAUUAGGGAAGAACAUAUGUGUAAGUAACUGUGCACAUCUUGACGGUACCUAAUCAGAAAGCCACGGCUAACUACGUG